rnacentral:rRNA from 1 species
UGAAUGUCAAAGGUAAUACUUGACGGGUAACGCCCUCGUUUGAGUGUAUUCCUCCGGGGAUAUAAUCAACCGAGGAGGGGAGGAUCCUAUGGUCCUUUCAUAUAUUACCACUUCUUUGUGAAUAAGGGUGGAUUAUAUGCCAAAAAAAUUGUAAAAAUCA